rnacentral:miRNA from 1 species
GUAGCUAUCAAAUAUGUGUGCA